rnacentral:rRNA from 1 species
GCAAGUCUCAGUGCACACGGUUCAACAGUGGGUCUGUGAAUGGCUCCUUACAUCAGCAGUCAUCUACGUGAUAGAGUGUGGCAAGCACCGAUCGCCAAGGUGCUCAUCUGGACAUCCUCCAAAACCUAGUGGCUAAUACACGCAAGCAACGAUCCACCAAGUGCUCGAGAGUCGUGUCUGGCUUCGGUCAGACCGAACCGGUUGAUGGAUGGCGCUCAGUUGAGAGAAAGACCAGUGCCAGCAAUGGCAGUGUUGCGAUGUUGACUCAGACUGAUCCCUAUGGGACAGCAGCGCUGGCAGAGUUGUCGUGGGCUAACACCCACGUCUGCUUGAUCGCACGAACUUCUGACCUAUCAGCUAGACUGUGGUGCAGUGGACCACAGUGGCAGUGACGGGUAACGGAGAAUCUGGGUUCGAUUCCGGAGAGGGAGCCUGAGACACGGCUACCACUACCAAGGUGGGCAGCAGGCGCGCAAAUUGCCCAAUACAGAGACAGUGUGUGAGGCAGCGACGAACUGCAGCAAUCCUGCUGGCUUCAUUGUCAGCAGGACUUGGAAUGGAUGCUAUCCAAACACAGUGAUGAGUAACAACUGGAGGGCAAGUCUGGUGCCAGCAGCUGCGGUAAUUCCAGCUCCAAGGGCGUAUACUAACAUUGCUGCUGUUAAAACACUUGUAGUCUGCCACUGGGUGCAGGUCUGUCGCUGGCCGUUCGACUGGAUGGACUCGUCUGUCUGGUAGUUCGGAGCAACCACGACAGUAGGUCCCUGUGCCCAACUCGAUUGGAUGGUUGGUCUGCUCCUGCUCGAAGUCUUCUUCAGUGAAGGCCAAGGCUGUUCUACACCCAAGGCAUGUUGGGCGAGAAGGUGGCGAGUCCCAGUGUCUCGCAGUCCACACCCGUCCACAACCGGAGCCAACUGUCAGUGAUACCCUGGUAAACUCAGUGUGCUCAAAGCAUCCGAUCCUCGGCCGGAUGAUCGUCCAUGGCAUGUCAAAGCAUCGACCGAGCGUGGCAAUGGAGUUGUGCUGGCCUUGGUGCCAACUCAGGGCAAUCUGGCGCUGUACUUCGGCUGGGAAAGCGGCUGAGUCCUCGGACAAGGCUGUCGGAACAGUCGCGAGUGGCAGUGGCCGAACGGAGACGAUGGAACUGCUCAGGGUGGAAGGUAUUGCAACGCCAGAGGUGAAAUUCUUAGACCGUUGCAGGACCAACUGCAGCGAAGGCGUUCUGCAAGUGCAUGUUCGUCGAUCAAGAAUGAGAGCUUGGGGAGCGAAGAUGAUCAGACACCGUCGUAGUCCAAGGCUGUAAACCAUGCCAGCUCGGCAUUGGUGUGGCAAUGAUCUAUCACACACCGCAUCAGGGCCAAUCCCCCUACAACGAGUAAUCCAAGCCAUUGGGUUCAGGGGGGAGUACUGUCGCAAGGCUGAAACUUAAAGGAAUUGACGGAAUGGCACCACAAGGCGUGGAGUAUGCGGCUUAAUUUGACUCAACACGGGGAACGUUACCAGGUCAGGACAUUGUCAGGAUGGACAGACUGAGAGCUCUUUCUUGAUCCGAUGGACGGUGGUGCAUGGCCGCUCCUGAUUGGUGGAGUGAUUUGUCUGGUUGAUUCCGAUAACGAGUGAGAUCUCUGCCUAACACUAGCCCCUGUCUCGCAUCUGGUAGGGCUGAGACCGAUGAGAAGCGGUUGGCUUCUAGCCAACGUCUGCCUCGUCGUGUUCUCCCCGAGAGUGCAGGGUAUCAAGCUUCUCUGAGGUGCUGUGUCUGCUUCCAAAGCCACGCAUGCUAGAGCCAACAGCAGGUCUGUGAUGCUCCCAGAUGUUCUGGGCCGCACGCGCACUACAUUGACACAGUGAAGGUGUGAAGCUGCACUCGUGCAGCCCUGAUCAGAAGGUGAUUCGGAAACCAUGCAAGCCUGUGCUGUACUGGGGAUAGAUGAUUGCAACUGUCUGCCUUGAACGAGGAAUGCCUAGUAUGCGCUUGUCAUCAGCAAGCACCGAUUGUGUCCCUGCCAUUUGUACACACCGCCCGUCGUUGCUACCGAUGACAGCUGGAUAGAGCCAUCAGGAGGUCCAACAGACUACAGUUCGCUGAGUCUCGAG